rnacentral:rRNA from 1 species
CCUACGGGGGGCUGCAGUGAGGAAUAUUGCACAAUGGGCGAAAGCCUGAUGCAGCAACGCCGCGUGGGUGAAGAAGGUUUUCGGAUCGUAAAGCCCUUUUCUGUGUGACGAGAACGGACGGUAGCACAGGAAUAAGUGUCGGCUAACUACGUGCCAGCAGCCGCGGUAAAACGUAGGACGCAAGCGUUAUCCGGAGUUACUGGGCGUAAAGAGCGCGCAGGCGGAUGAUUAAGUCGUGUAUGAAAGCCCCUGGCUAAACUGGGGGAGGCUAGACG